GCAUGGUCAUGGAUUUAUGGUGGGCUCUUCCGUGUGGGCCUUUCAUAGUGUACCCAUGCUAGAGUGAACUGCAGCCUCGAACCAUUGCCAAGCUUCACUGCUUGUGGGCUGUGAGCACUGAAGAAGGUUGCACAUUU
ensembl:snoRNA